rnacentral:rRNA from 1 species
AUUAAAAGAUUUCUUCGGAAUGAACUUAAUUGGAUUAGUGGCGGACGGGUGAGUAACGCGUGAGUAACCUGCCUUGUACAAGGGGAUAGCCGUUGGAAACGACGAAUAAUACCCUAUGAUAUGAUAGUAUCGCAUGGAAUUAUCAUCAAAGAUUUAUCGGUAUAAGAUGGACUCGCGUCUGAUUAGCUAGUUGGUGGGGUAAAAGCCUACCAAGGCAACGAUCAGUAGCCGGCUUGAGAGAGUGUACGGCCACAUUGGGACUGAGACACGGCCCAGACUCCUACGGGAGGCAGCAGUGGGGAAUUUUGCACAAUGGGGGAAACCCUGAUGCAGCGACGCCGCGUGAUUUAGAAGGCCUUCGGGUUGUAAAAAUCUUUUGUAUGGGAAGAAAAUGACAGUACCAUACGAAUAAGGACCGGCUAAUUACGUGCCAGCAGCCGCGGUAAUACGUAAGGUCCGAGCGUUGUCCGGAAUCAUUGGGCGUAAAGGGUACGUAGGCGGAUAAGCAAGUUAGAAGUUAAAUCCUAUAGCUCAACUAUAGCAAGCUUUUAAAACUGCUCAUCUUGAGGUAUGGAAGGGAAAGUGGAAUUCCUAGUGUAGCGGUGAAAUGCGCAGAUAUUAGGAGGAAUACCGGUGGCGAAGGCGACUUUCUGGCCAUAAACUGACGCUGAGGUACGAAAGCGUGGGUAGCAAACAGGAUUAGAUACCCUGGUAGUCCACGCCGUAAACGAUGAGUGUUAGGUGUCUGGAAUAAUCUGGGUGCCGCAGCUAACGCAUUAAACACUCCGCCUGGGGAGUACGCACGCAAGUGUGAAACUCAAAGGAAUUGACGGGGACCCGCACAAGCAGCGGAGCAUGUGGUUUAAUUCGACGCAACGCGAAGAACCUUACCAAGUCUUGACAUAAUACAGAAGCUUUUAGAGAUAAGAGCCUACAUCUUCGGAUGACUGUAUUACAGGUGGUGCAUGGUUGUCGUCAGCUCGUGUCGUGAGAUGUUGGGUUAAGUCCCAUAACGAGCGCAACCCCUAUUGUUAGUUACCAUCAUUAAGUUGGGGACUCUAGCAAUACUGCCGGUGAUAAA